rnacentral:rRNA from 1 species
UACUCGAGUGGCGAACGGGUGAGUAACACGUGGGUGAUCUGCCCUGCACUCUGGGAUAAGCCUGGGAAACUGGGUCUAAUACCGGAUAGGACCGCACUUUAGUGUGUGUGGUGGAAAGUUUUUUCGGUGUAGGAUGAGCCCGCGGCCUAUCAGCUUGUUGGUGGGGUAAUGGCCUACCAAGGCGGCGACGGGUAGCCGGACUGAGAGGUUGGUCGGCCACAUUGGGACUGAGAUACGGCCCAG